GGUACAUCAGCCAACAUGCCAACAGAUAAACAACCUCCCACUACUUAUUUCCCUCCAUUUCAACACAAUUCCAAGAAAAAUUUAAG